GGCAUAGCACAUGUAUCUUUCGCCUACAAUUGUAUUCAAAGGUCUUGUGCUGCUGGAUCAUGCACAACAGCAAGUGAGUGUCCAGCUAAUAGCACGAAUGGAUGUGAGGUAUCAUCUGUUGCCGGUGUGGUGUCACAGUCCUGCUCUCAAACAAAAUGCGUAUCAAGCUGGUUGAAUGUUUCCGGAAGUAUAAUCGCAAAAGAUUGUUGUUUCACUGAUAAAUGUAACGUCGAAUCGAGUAAGUUCAAAACCCCGUGUUAUAGCUUUACUCUUCAAUUUACAAAUAAUUAUUAUAAAAGUAUCUUGAUCUGGUUAUUGUAUACUGCUUGAGUACAUUUUGCUAGAUCAGAAUCGAGAUUGCCAAGAAUAAUCCGGUGUUAUAAAAACAUAAGACACUAUAAGAUUCAUAAGUUUCAGAUGAAGACCCUAUUUAAAUAAUUGUUAUACAUGUAUGUCGUACAUUUGCUGCUAAGGACACGUUAAACUGUAAAUUAUCAACAUAAAAUAACAAGAAUAAAG